CUGCAACCGUAACAAACGUCCAUAUAACAUUAGUCUAUGUAACAGAAAAUGACGUGUUUAACGCAGGAUCUGUCCGAAUCACUGGUAUAAGUCCGGCUGACUUUCUACAUUUACCACGAAUACCCUCUCAGGAAAUGACAAAAAGCAUGGAUACCAUGAACAUACAGUUUCAAAAAUUGCUAACAGAGGAAAUACACAGGAAUGCCACAGUUGUUCCAAAAAUUAAGAUGUUUAGCGUUGUCGGAAACAAUUCUUACACGGAAAUUAGAUUAGCAAAUCUUGGACGUCCACAAUAUCAGAGUAGUAUUAUGAACGGCAUUGUAACAGCACAUAAAAACGAAUUUGAGAGUAUUCUAACGGAUUUUGGAAAUGGUGAAAUAAGUAUGGUUCCUGUUGAAAUGUGCCAGUUUGACGGUUGUGAGGGAGACUGUUAUACAUCACUUGUAGUUUCCGACGCACCGACCGUGAUACAGUCUGCUGGAUCAUCAUACGUAGGUCUAACCAUAACCGCCUAGCCAUCGUGUGAUUUUGGAUUAAACAAAUCAUCAUUUGACUGUUACAAUGAUGGUUCGUGGCGUGGAAACAGCUCUGUGGAAGCAAGUUUCGAGAUUAUGUUCUUAUAUACAGUUAAAAUUGAUGAACUGUUACGGUAGUGGGUGCAGCCAUCUUUAUUUGCUUCCGGACAGUACUGUUAAGACCAAACUUGACAGUAAGUGAACUUCUUGUUCACUAUCAGUUUACGAUCAGUGCACUUCGUAGUGCACUAGGGUAAGACAAGGGGAAGGCCAGUGAAAGACUAAAUGCAGACAAGGGGCUGACCAGAUAAAGCUUCUUCAGUCUAUAAUAAAAGCUAUCUUUACAGUGAAACUUAGAAUGAUGGGUGUAGUUUAAACAGAUGUUUUAAUGUUAAUUAAUUGAUAGAGAAUACUUAUAAUCCAUUUGGACCUUUUAUGUAACUGAUUUAGAUUUAUUAAAAUAAAAAACUGAUGUUGUUUUAUAAAAAAAGAAAUUGUCAAACAAAGAUAUUUAAUGUUUUUUUUUUGUUUUCUUUAUUAAUAUGCAUUGCAUUAUUUUGAUAUUAAUUGAUAGGUAUAAUGAUAUAACUUUUGUUCUGGGUUAAAGGGUUUCAUCUUCAAACACUUAUUGAACAUAACGAUGAAAUGAAUUCAUAAGCCUUUAUUUUAACUAUAACAAUAAGUUUCACAAGGUGAUAGUUACAAGUUGUUCGUUAUUUAAAAUAGUUAAUCAUCAAGGUUCACACCUUAUUGUUCCAAGCUCAAACUGUGAAAUUGUUGCAAGAUUUUCUUCCAUCUAUUGUAAAACUUUCAAUUUUAUGUUUAUUUUUGAUUAACAAAUGUAUUAUAAUUUAAGGUGAUAGCCUAACAGCAAUUAUUAUCAAAUAAGUACACCAUUAAUUAUUAUAGUAUAUUUUCUGAAUUGUUUCUAGAUUUAUUAAUUGCAUUUCUAAUUUGAAACACAUAAUAGAUAAACAUAUAUUUAAGAGGUGGUUCUGCUGCUUCAUUAUUAAAUGAAAUACUAUCCAUUGAAGGCUACCCUAAGCCUUCUUUAAUCUCAGAUCUGUCAGUGUUUAUAUUACCGUUUCAUUUUGAUAACUUUUUAGAGUCAGAAUAAGAGUAAUGUUAGA